CAUGACUGAGAACUCAAAUAGACUCACUCUGAUUGGCUCUUGCUCUAAAAACAUCAGAUGUAUUUGUGUAGCUACCAGCUUGAGGUUAUACUCCCUGGCUUUAGAUAAACUCUCAUAGUACAUUUACAAACAUCGAAACGGCUGUAAAGCCAAUCGAAAUGGCUGUGUAAAAAAAAAGGAUGACUUUAUACGGAUCAUUCUGUAUCUAUUGUUUGUGGGACAGUUACUACUGCUGGACUCGCUGGACUGUUGGAUUACAGUAUCAUCAACAUAUUGGAGUUUCAUUUGAGGGGAAAUCAGUGCAUUUUCCGCCAAGUCCUCUCUGCCAGUGGUGCGGGACCUGAUCGAUCACUUUGACACUUUUAUUACCAUUUAUCACUUUUACCUCUGCCUCAAGUUGUUCAUUCAUUUAGAGGAGUCGCUGUCACACACCAUGCCAGCGAACCAGGCCUUUGUCUUCCUGUGCCACCAGCAAACCAGGCCUUUGUCUUCCUGGCCACCACAGACUGCUACUGCAUGGGGGCUCUGGUGGUAGGACAGUGUUUACGACGACACAGGACCACACGCCAGACUGUUGUGAUGGUCUCCACUAAUGUCUCUAGCCAGGCACGGUCCUGGUAGUGGACGUGCUGGACAGUGGAGACCAAGCACAUCUAUCCUGGCUGGGACAACCAGAACUGGGGGGUCACUUUCACCAAGCUCCACUGUUGGACCCUCACCCAAUACAGCAAAUGUGUGUUCCUGGAUGCAGACACACUCAGCCAGGGGAGAGAAGAAGAGAAGGCAAAGGGGAAAUAAAAAGGGGAGAGAAGAAG